UACGAAGGGAGCUAGCGUUGUUCGGAAUCACUGGGCGUAAAGCGCACGUAGGCGGAUGUGUCAGUCAGGGGUGAAAUCCCGGAGCUCAACUUCGGAACUGCCUUUGAUACAGCACGUCUUGAGUCCGAUAGAGGUGGGUGGAAUUCCUAGUGUAGAGGUGAAAUUCGUAGAUAUUAGGAAGAACACCGGUGGCGAAGGCGGCCCACUGGAUCGGUACUGACGCUGAGGUGCGAAAGCGUGGGGAGCAGACGGG
rnacentral:rRNA from 1 species